ACUUUUUGAGAGUUUGAUCCUGGCUCAGGACGAACGC
rnacentral:rRNA from 1 species